rnacentral:rRNA from 1 species
UACGGAGGGUGCAAGCGUUGUCCGGAUUUACUGGGUUUAAAGGGUCCGUAGGCGGAUUUUUAAGUCAGUGGUGAAAUCCUGCAGCUUAACUGCAGAACUGCCAUUGAUACUGAAAGUCUUGAGUAUAGUUGAGGUGGACGGAAUUUAUAAUGUAGCGGUGAAAUGCAUAGAUAUUAUAAAGAACACCAAUUGCGAAGGCAGUUCACUAAACUAUCACUGACGCUCAGGGACGAAAGCGUGGGGAGCGAACAGG